UAGAAAGGAAGGGGACGCGGAAGGCGACGCGGCCGCUGAUUGGGCCGUUUGAAUGAGACGCCGCCACGGCCCGGCAUACGCGCGCGCGUGCGCGCCCUGACGCUGAGGAAGUCGCGCACGCGACUAACGGUCGUCCUCGGGGCUGGAGCGUGGCGAGGAGAGGCGGGACUCGGGGUUUUAAACGCGUGAUGGAAGGCGCUGGGGCCAAUAGAGAUGCGUCUUAGUGACUAGAGGGUCACGAGACUCGCGCGGGCCAAUGGCUGACAGAGGCCGGUCAGAGGGCGGGCAGGAAUGGAUAGCGACCAAUACAGACCCAGUUUCUUGCAUAUCAAACCGCUCCCAGCCAACGAAAUCCGUUUAUUUUUAUAUAUGCAAAUGAGUCGUGCGCUGCCGCGCGCUCCCCCUCCUCUCAGCCGUGGGGAAGUGGGCGCUGGAAGUCCCGCUACGUUUUUCUACGAGGCGCCAUUUUGUGCUGGAAAUGGUCUUGGGUCCACGUGUAGUAUUGCGAAGGCUCAAAGAUGAGUCAGAAUGACCAUGAAGGCUCGGACAGCCUUGCCUUCCGUGUGUGACCCCGACCCCUGCCAGGCUUCAUGGAAGACGCCCGGCCUCAGUUUCCUUAUGUGGCACAUGGGCUCUGGAAUUCCUUGUGAUGCCAGGGAAGGAAGUCAGGGAGACCCACUUUGCCUCGUUCCUUUAUUCAGGGCGCGGUUCUGCCUGUGACUGACCCACGGCCUCCACCCACACCUGCCUUCUCUGGGAUUCAGUUUCCCUCUCUGGGAAGUAGGUGACCAUCUCCAGCAGUAGGUGUCAGUAAAAAAAGUCACCCCACUUUGGGAGGCCGAGGCAGGCGGAUCACGAGGUCAAGAGAUCGAGACCAUCCUGGUCAACAUGGUGAAACCCCGUCUCUACUAAAAAUACAAAAAUCAGCUGGGCAUGGUGGCCCACACCUGUAGUCCCAGCUACUCGGGAGGCUGAGGCAGGAGAAUUGCCUGAACCCAGGAGGCGGAGGUUAUGGUGAGCCGAGAUCGCGCCAUUGCACUCCAGCCUGGGUAACGAGAGCGAAACUCCGUCUCAAAAACAACAACAACAAAAAACCCUACGUGACUGGGUACAGUAGCUCACACCCGUAAUCCCAGCACUUUGGGAGACCAAGGUAGAUCGCUUGAGCCCAGGAGUUCGAGAUUAGACUGGGCAACAUAGUGAGAGACCUCUCCCACCAUCUGUACCAAGAAAACCCAGAAAACUGAAAGCAGCAGAAAAAACAGCCACAGCAUAAAAAGUCAUCAUCAUAACCAGUUUGUGGAGAAAUGGCUGCAGCAUCUACACCGUAGCUGGCAGGAUGCUAUGGGAUACAGCAGAGAAUAAAAGGGACAAAACCUCGGCCUUCCUGGAUCUUACAUGCUGGUGCAGGAGCCAGAUAGCAAUGAGGCUGAACGUCCUUUCCCGAGUUUCUGAGUCUGCUAGUCUGCGGUUGGUAGCAGGUUCUUCGCUCCUUAGUGCCCGAAUACUUCUGAGCAGACACUCGUGACCUUCCCAGCUUGAGGUGUCUUUACACACUGGGGUAGGUAAUUGACGACAACUACUUUCCUCUGUGCCUCUGGAGCUGAAGGUCGAGCUCUCCCGGGUGGGAGAGGCCUUCACCAACGCAAAAAUAGGCCCUUAAGUGGAUCGGGUGCUCCCUCUAGUGACAGACAUGCCAGUAAUGAAAUGCAUUGCCCAGCCGACUCCCGCUCCGCAAAUCCCGGAGCGCAAGGCGGAGACUCUUGAACGCACUAGGAAUCUCCUGUAAUGACUUACAACCACACCUGUGAUGCACACCAAGCUUAACCGGAAAGAUGUCCAGUGCUGGGGAGGGUGGGAACACACGGGCAUUCUCACAAACAGACUUGGCACAGGCCCUCUGAGUUGUCGUUGGCAUCGUCUUACAAAAGUCUUCAAAAUGCACCUGCCACUCACCUCCUGACGGCUCAUCCUAAAGAAAAUUAAGCCAAUGUACCAAGUGGUGUGUAAAAAGAUGUUUCUCACAGUAUUGUUCGGACUAGUCCAAACUAGGGAAAACCUAAACAUCUAUUGAUAGUGCUGGCACAGGCCGGCUGCAGCAGGGAGGCGCAGCUGGGAAUGCACAUUUUAUGGAGCCCGUGGGAGCCCCUCCCCUUCUGAGUUGAGGUGGGAGCUCCCGGGGUGUUGCUGCAGUCGCCCAAACUGUGGCUGUGGAUCUGAGCCUCCCUGUGCUCUUGGCGGUGAAGGGGUGCUGGGAACAGGCAGGAUCUGCCCUCCUGGGUGCAGCUGCAGCCACCAGACCCAGGGCUGCAGAUCUGGGUCUCUAGCUUCACGUAGCAGGUGGGAGCAGGGACAAGCGAGAGCCCUGCCCCUCCCGAGUUGGUGGGGCGGGAGUUCCUGGGUGCACUGGCAACUGUCCUCCCAGGCACAGGACCCAAGAGUCUCUGCAGCCUGCACCCUUGGGGGCCCCAGGGAAGACCCUCCCCCCAUCCCUUCAGUCUCAGGGGUGCCUGUUCCCACUACCUGGCUUCUCACCACUCCUGGCUCCUCUUCCAAUCUUGGAUCAGUGGUUACGGCAGAGCCCGGGGACCAUGAAUGGCAGUGGGAGACUUGCAGAGAUGGGGGUGGUCCUCAGUAAGGCCCCACCUUCAGGCCAGGGAGGGCCUGAAGGCUGGGGGGCAGGCUGCCAGUUCUGAGGACCACUGUGGGGAUAUGUGGUGCCUCUUCUAGGCCCAUGACUGCCCAUGGACCAGUCAGCAUGCACUUUCUCCCCUCUGAGGUCCAUAAAAGCCCUGGGCUCCGCCAGAGCAGGGCAGAGGUCUGCCAGAGAACAAAGACAGUGGAGCCAACAGGACAACCAGCUGCAGAGAGGAGCUGCUUUCUCUCAUGAAAGCUGCAGAGAUGACCAGCUGCAGAGAGGAGCUGCUUUCUCUCAUGAGAGCUGCAGAGAUGACCUGCUGCAGAGAGGAGCUGCUUUCUCUCAUGAGAGCUGCCGAGAUGACCUGCUGCAGAGAGGAGCUGCUUUCUCUCAUGAGAGCUGCCGAGAUGACCUGCUGCAGAGAGGAGCUGCUUUCUCUCAUGAGAGCUGCCGAGAUGACCUGCUGCAGAGAGGAGCUACUUUCUCUCAUGAGAGCUGCAGAGAUGACCUGCUGCAGAGAGGAGCCAUCCCCACCAGGGCCUCCUCUCUGCUGAGAAUUGUAGGCAUUAGGAUGACCAGUUGCAGAGAGGAGCUACUCUCUCCAGAACCUCCUGUCUGCUGAGAACUGAACACUCAACGGAUGACCUGCCUACAGAGAGGACCUCACCACUGUGGGCCUCCUCUGAGCUGUUGUGACGCUAAAUCUAGCUCAUCCUUGUCUUCUUCGCCCUUCACUUGUCUGCGUACUGCAUUCUUCCUGGACUCAAGACAAGAACGCAGCAGAGGUUUCCAGGGGGAAGAAACUUGAUACCCCGAAGAUCCUCUAACAGUCGGGGCUGGGAAAAAACUCUGCUGCAUCCAUAGGACAGAAUAUGGAAUAGCCAUUGAAAAUGAGGGAGGAUUUGUUGUUGUUUUAAUCCCUGGUGUCUCGAAGAAUCUGAUGAAAGUAUAGGAUCCAUUUCCCUGAAAAAAAAAAAAAAACAUCUACAAAUGCUCACUAAUAAGCGUGAAAAGAAUAAUGAGGUUAGAAAAUUAUCAUCUGAAGAUCGCCGUUCAACUUUUGGAGACUGAUAUUCAGAUGUUUUGAAGAUUGCCAAUAUUCAAACAUCGUUGUAAUAAUGGAUUCAGCCACGGCUGGGUGCGGUGGUUCACACCUCACACCUGUAAUCCCAGCACUUUGGGAGGCCGAGGCAGGCAGAUCAUGAGGUCAGGAGUUUGAGACCAGCCUGACCAACAUAGUGAAACCCUGUCUCUACUAAAAAUACAAAAAUUAGCUGGGCAUGGUGGCAUGUUCCUGUAAUCCCAGCUACUUGGGAGGCUGAGGCAGGAGAAUCAUUUGAACCCGGGAGGCGGAGGUUGCAGUGAGCCGAGAUCAUGCCACUGCACUGCAGCCUGAGCAACAGAGCAAGACUCCAUCUCAGAAAAUAAUAAUAAUUGAUUCAACCAAGAGAAUCAUCAGUGGAGGCCAAACAGCAGGUGAAAAUUUGAGGAGAAAAAAGAUAACUACACAGCAUCAGCCUACGUGUGGUGGCUCACACCUGUAAUCCCAGCACUGUGGGUAGCUGACACCUUCACCUGGGACUUCCAGGCUCCAGAACUGUGAAGAAACAGAGUUCUGUUGGCUGGAUGCAGUGGCUCACACCUAUAAUCUCAGCACUGCUGAGGCAGGAGGACGGCUUGAGCCCAGGAGUUUAAGACCAGCCUGGACAACACAGUGAGACCCCCAUCUCUAUUUAAAAAAAAGAAACUUAAAACUUAGCCAGGAAUGGUGGCAUGCACCUGUAGUCCCAGCUAUUCAGGAGGCUGAGGUGGGAGGAUCGCUUGCGCCCAGAAGGUUGAGGCUGCAGUGAGCCUUGUUCGUUCCACUGCACUGCAGCCUUGGUGGAAUGAACUCAGCAUAUGAGCUCUGAACAUAUGAGCUUCCCGAACUUCAGGAAGCAUAAGAGCAUGGGUUCCUUCAGCUAAAGUGCUGAGACUGGCAUCGCCCCUGUGGUUUUCCUGUCUCACACAGGGAACCCAGCUCUAAUCACGAGGAAACGUGAAAUGCACCUAACUGCAAGAGAGACGUUCCAUGAAAUGGCCUACCUGGGUUCUUUACAAAUCAGCAUUGAGAAAGACAACGUCUGGGCUGGUCCUGCUGGCUGCCACCUGUAAUCCCAGCACUUUGGGAGGCUGAGGCAGGAGGAUUGCUUGAGGAGGAAUUCCAGCCUGGGCAACAUAGCAAGACCCCGUCUCUUAAAAUAAAAAAGUCUCCCUAAUCUCUGCGUGAAUGGUGUACAAGAAUAGAAAAUAAAAAUAAAAAAGAAAGACAAAGACUGUGUAACUGUUGGUUUUUUUGGUUUGUUUGUUUUGAGAUGGAGUCUCCCUCUAUUGCCCAGGCUGGAGUGCAGUGGCACAACCUCUCCUCACUGCAACCUCUGCCUCCUGGGUUCAAGCAAUUCUCCUGCUUCAGCCUCCUGAGUAGUUGGGACUACAGGCAUGUGCCACCGCACCUGGCUACUUUUUCUGUAUUUUUAGUAGAGACGGGGUUUCACUAUGUUGGCCAGGGUGGUCUCGAUCUCCUGACCUCUUGAUCCACUCCUCUCUGCCUCCCAAAGUACUGGGAUUACAGGGCUGAGCCAGCAUGCCCGGGUAAGACUGAGUAACUGUUUAAGGUUGAAGGCACCUCAAGAAGCAUGAUAGCUGGUUGCACCACUGAAUCCUGAGGUGUCACAAACUGAAAGUGGCUCUAAAGGACACUAGCAGGAUGCUCGAUGAAACUCACACGUGGACUUGGUCAAUGCUAAAUUCUUGACCAUGAUAAUUAUGCUGUGGACAUGUAAGAGAGUGGUCUUGUUCUUCAGAAUAUCCUCUGGAGGUAAAGGGAUGUGAUGGAUGGAACUUACUUCCAAAUGUUUCCAAAGAAAAAAACCAUAAAUUACUUUUUUUGAGGCAGGUCCUGGCUUUGUGGCCCAGGCUGCCCAGGCUGGAGUGCAGUGGUAUGAUCUUGGCUGACUGCAGCCUCCACCUCCUGGGCUCAAGCAAUCCUCUCACCUCAGCCUCCUGAGUAGCUGAAACUACAGGCACAUAGCACCAUGCCUGGCUAAUUUUUUGUAUUUUU